rnacentral:rRNA from 1 species
ACGGGAGGCAGCAGUGGGGAAUAUUGGACAAUGGGGGAAACCCUGAUCCAGCGACGCCGCGUGAGCGAAGAAGUAUUUCGGUAUGUAAAGCUCUAUCAGCAGGGAAGAAAAUGACGGUACCUGACUAAGAAGCCCCGGCUAACUACGUGCCAGCAGCCGCGGUAAUACGUAGGGGGCAAGCGUUAUCCGGAUUUACUGGGUGUAAAGGGAGCGCAGGCGGUAUGCUAAGUCUGAUGUGAAAACCCGGGGCUCAACCCCGGGAUUGCAUUGGAAACUGGUAAACUUGAGUGUCGGAGAGGUAAGCGGAAUUCCUAGUGUAGCGGUGAAAUGCGUAGAUAUUAGGAGGAACACCAGUGGCGAAGGCGGCUUACUGGACGAUAACUGACGCUGAGGCUCGAAAGCGUGGGGAGCAAACAGGAUUAGAUACCCUGGUA